AUCAGCAGUACAAAAUUAUGAACAGAACAACAGCUAUGAGAAAUGAAUAACUUUUCAUACUAUAUCCAGAAGCCCAAACUUCUGGGGCUCCCCCAUGGUGGCCUAAUGCAGUACAUGUCAAAAAGGCCUUUUCCAAUGUGACAGAGCAGGAGUCAAAGUUUUAUUUAGUUACUUGAUGCUAAAAAGAGGGAAUGACAACUCUGAGUUUCUGCUUCAACUCAACUCAAGAAUCUGCUUUCGUACCUGGACUUUGAUGUUAAAUUGGUAAAUUACAUGUAUGCUGCAGAAGGGGUGCAACCUCAACCACAUACCUUCUGAGCGUGCCUCCAUUCCAUCAUUGCAAUAUGUAAGCGCCCACUGAAGCCAUAUACUGGCCCCACUUCUCACAGUAAGGUGAGGUGUGCAGUUCAAAUUCAGUUAAGUCAAUGGGCUCUUCUUUCGUGUCCGCCAGUGAGGCGGCGGAGGGUGGCAGACCCCACGCAGUGGUAUUUUGGUAGACCGGCGGCGUAUCGGCAUACGUCACUGAUGCCUCACUGGCAGGUUUCCACAGUGUCAGGCUCAUUUCAGUGCAAUAAAUAAUCAACAACAACUAAUAAUCUGAGUCAGCACAUACAUUUAAAUCUAUAUAGAUAUAUUCUGAUCUAUAUCUGAUUUGAUGAGCGCGUUUGGCAUGCGUUUGGACACACAACCUGACCGAAUCAACACAGCUGAAACCACAUUAAAUUAAAUUAAAUAUCUAGUUAAUAGACAAACAUGAUGAAGUGAACAAGAUAUGGAAUUCGUCUCCCUCCUUUUCUUUCUUCCUCUUCCUCUUAUUUCUCGCGCAGCUCGACCUGGACAUGUCUCCCUGUCCUCUCCCCGUCCUACUGCAGCUGCUGCUGCGGCGGCUGAACAGAUGAUUUGUUUUAGUGAUCAGAUAAGUUAUUUACUUUAAGCCCACAUAUGAAUAUUAUAAUAUUCAGAUGGUUCCGAUUUUAAUGCCAUUAUUGGAAUUUAUGAUGUGAUCUCUGCGCAAAACCCACCUUUGUCACGUGAGGUUUGAAUAUGUGCAACUUUAUGUGAGUGUCUUUAUAUGUGGAAAGGGAUGUUUGUCUUACUAGUGGGUCCAACAUUACACACACCAAAUCCAUCUGUGCUCAUAUGAGAGAGUGUGAAGGACGCCCUCUCCAGCGUUUACAGCGACACUUGUUGAGGGGCUGCCUUUUGUCGCCAUCGUGUGGCAUUGCUGUCUUCAGACAUCUCUUGAUCUCUUUGACUACUUCAUGAAAAUUGUAAUACGUCUCGCCGGUGGCUGAUGUUAUUGGUCAAUACAGGUCUUGGCUGUGUUAAACCCAGUUCACGCCCUCUCUCCUCCCUCGCUACGACUUACGCCGCUGGGAGGAACUGAGUAAGGGAGGGGGGAUACUUAUGCCGGGCUGCACCGCUCACCAAAAUACCAAAUUGUGCCUGGGAAUGCCUUGUCCGCGCAGCGGACCUGACGUAUGCCACGACUGCGCCACGUCUCCGGAGAAGCACGGAAAUAGAGCCCAAAGCCUUGUACUCCUCAGCCAUGUGAAAAACAGUUUUUAGGAGCUAUCUGCUGCAACCAAUCAAAAGCUAUUGGUUGUAAAUUGACUUUGGCCACACAAGUUGCAGAAUACGAAAGAACUGAAAGGACCUCUUAGUCUAGAUGGCAGUCAAUUACUUUAUAAUGUGGCACUGGUGUGGUGCUGGUUUUUUACGAAAAGUUAAGGGUGAGGAUAAAGUAUCCUGCUAUGCUGACCUUGUUGAUGCCUCUGGUCUAGUACUAAUCAUACUUAAGUUUCCAUGGUAAAGUUAAAAUCUUAUAGCCCCUUUUAGUGUCAGAAAUUAAAUGGCAUUCUUGCUAGUCAGGGCUUAGUUGUAGGCAAAAACAUCUUUUAAACACAUUAACUAGUGUCAGUUACUGUAACUCACAGGUCAGACAAACUGAGGCUAGCUAGCAAAUUAAGCUAAUGUUAGCUUAAUAACACCAUAGGAUCGAUUUAACUUUCACAACAAAACAAAGGUUUUCAAAAAAGGUUAGCAAAGAUGCUCCUUGGCCUUUACAGUUAUGCUUGAGACUAGCAUAAGGACAAAGACAGCAAGCUAAACAUGUUAAAGGUUGCAUCUUUGGUUGUAGCAGAUUAACAGCUUUUAAAUCCUUCUUUUUUACCUUUCAGGUCCAAAACAUGACUUUUCAUGCCUCACAUUCAAAAUGAAGGUAAUUUUGAGCUAGAUGUGGUUGCAAGCUAUGAUUGGACAAUAAUUGCUGGGGGCAGAGUUUAAAGAACAGUCAAUUAGCUUUGUUAUCAACAGCUCCACUGACUCUGUGGUAGACUCACACUUAUGCGGGGGGGGGGGGGGUCUGAGCUGUGGUGAAUGACAGAAUGCCACUGCAACACUGGAGAGAGAGAGAGAGAGAUGAAAAGGAGAAAGUGACAAAAGCAGAAAGAAUCUCCUAUUUAUUUCAUUCAGUGGAUCUUUGAAAAUGCUAAGGAGGGGAGCAUGACGGAGGAGCUUAUUGGAUUUAUUUCUCUCUCUCUCUCUCUCUCUCUCUCUCUCUCUCUCUCUCUCUCUCUAUCUCAGCCUAAGACACAUUUUCAUUAGGCAAACAUAUUAGACACACUUUCACACCAUCAGAGAUGUGCUCUCACAAUUAAGAUACAUUUCUUGCUGCGUGUGUGCACUUGUGUGUUUAUCAUACACGCACUUACAGUUUAUCCACUUACAGUUUCCUCUCUCUCUUUAUCAGUCUGUCAGUCUUGGUCUAAUACAACCACACAUUUACACCCUUGCACAUCGUUUUCUCGUGCAUGGACAUUAGAAUUGCUUUGACUGACCAAAUGUCACUGUCACUUCACAAUGUCAUUGAAAGACCCUAUUGUUUUACUUUAAGCAUUAUUUCAGAAACUUACACUUCAGCCAACAUCUCUAUUAAAUAUUUUGGAAUCUACAACUCUUAUAUCUAGGUGUUUGCAUUUAGGUGUUAGUCUGGACGUUGAAUAGCAUGAAAAACAAUCAAAACUAAAACUACCCUCAAAGGUGGGGUAGGCAGGAUCUGAGUUAGUACCAGUUUUUGGGAGAAAUCUUGAAUGUAAACACUACCCCUCCCCACCAGUUUUCCCCUCAGCUCCUCCUCUCCCCUCCGUCUCUGCUCCAGCAAGAAGACUUCAACCAUGUCCAAUUCUGAGGUAAGAAGAAUUUCACUGAUACUAAGGUCAACUUUUUAUCUUUACAUACAACUCACGGUUACAUGCUGUGUUGUUAUAAAUUUUAAUUUGCCUAACUGUGCUCAGCUAGCUCACCGUUACCAGCUGAGCUAGUGAGCGUUAGUUUUUUCUAUUGACAUUAGAGUUAGCCACAGCAGCUAGCUUUCCUGCAUACAGGCUUACAAAAGUAGACUGUGGCAAAUUAAAAACAAAACAACUCUCUCUGGCGCUUUUUCCAGCCCUGACUAUGAGAUUGAAUACACCCCAGGCCCAGCAAGGUGAAGUAGAGAAGGCCCCAGAGGCAGGCCACCACAAGCCGGACAGCUUGGCUAGGGGCCAUGGCAGAGACCGGGGAAUAGGUCAACGAAGAGGCCAGAGGCCAUGUGAUAGUUUUGCAGACAUAAUAUGAAGUAAACCAUUUCUAAAUAUAAGAUUGUCGUGAGUUUUCAGAUUUUUGCAUUCUCAGACCUGGGUUAGAAGACUGAACCUGGAGGAGCUCAAACACAUGGAUGAACAGGCUGGCUAGAUGGGUCUGGAGCAAAAUUAAAGCCACUGUAGACAGCCCUGACCCUGGAGAAGGCAACAAGUAGUCCUGGUUUGCCCCAUAAUAAUGGUUUGUGAUCUGCCAAUAUGGAACAUAGGAGCUAAGAGUAAAGAUUCCUAGUUCUUGUGUCUAGAGAAUAUUGAAGUGCUUUUUUAAACUGCUAUUUAUCUAUAUGUAAAUGCUGUUUUAUACAUGAGUUUUUUCAUUAUACUGUUGUUAUUGAGUGGGAUUGCGAAGCACUCCCACUAUUUGUUUUUCAUAUCUUUAUUAUUAUUGAGUGGGAUUGCGAAGCAUUCAAACUAUAUGUUAUUCAUAUUUUUAUUAUUAUUAUUAUUGGGUGGGAUUGCAAAGCAUUCCCACUAUUUGUUUUUCACAUCUUUAUUAUUAUUUAGUGGGAUUGCGAAGCAUUCCCACUAUAUGUUAUUCAUAUCUUUAUUAAGUGAAAAUGCUGAUUAAGCAUUUCCACUUAUUGUUAUUCCUAUCGGCCAUUUUCUUUCUUAAUUAUUAAGUGGAAAUGCUGAUUAAGCAUUUCCACUUAUUGUUAUUCUCCUGUUUCUUUAUUAAUGUGGUGAGAUGCCUCCUCCUCUUGUUUUAUUUUAGUUGGACUUCAUGUUUUUCUUUGUUUGCCUGGUCUGGCUUGACUCUCUUCCAGAGCACCCACCCCCUCCCCGGUCGCUGAGGCUGAGUUAGACUCCACACCUGCACUGAAUCUGCAAUCAAGGCCUGUAAGAAGCCAGCAGCCCUCAGUCUCAGUGCCUGAGUAUUGUCUUCACUCCCAAGUGGUACAGACGCUUCUCCCGGCCUUCUCCUCGGCUAAGUGCUAAGUAAUUUUGCUCCCUGAGAUUCCUUGUAUGUCUUCUCACCUCCUUCUCCUCUGCUUCUCAACAGUGUCUCCAGCCAGCCAGCCAACCGGACUUUCUCUCAUGCCUUUUUUUUCUGUGUUUUUGGACAUUAAAUUACACCUUUAAUUUGA